rfam:Salinispora tropica CNB-440, complete genome.
CUUGAUCGACCCCAACCACAACGGCCGCUCCCCCGACCGACCCUGUCCAUACGUGGCCAACAACGCCUGCGCCUC